rnacentral:rRNA from 1 species
GGUUCGAUCCUGGCUCAGAUUGAACGCUGGCGGUCUUACACAUGCAAGUCGAACGGCGGCACGGACUUCGGUCUGGUGGCGAGUGGCGAACGGGUGAGUAAUGUAUCGGAACGUGCCCUAGUAGCGCGGGGGAUAACUACGCGAAAGCGUAGCUAAUACCACAUACCGCCCUUCGGGAAAGCGGGGGGACCUUCGGGCCUCGCACUAUUAGAGCAGCCGAUAUCGGAUUGGCUAGUUGGUGGGGUAACGGCUCACCAAGGCGACGAUCCGUAGCUGGUUUGAGAGGACGACCAGCCACACUGGGACUGAGACACGGCCCAGACUCCUGCAGGAGAGGCAACAGUGAAAUUUUACGGACAAUGGGAAACCCUGAUCCAGCCAUCCCCGCGUGUGCGAUGAAGGCCUUCGGGUUGUAAAGCACUUUUUGGCGGGAAAGAAACAGCGCAGGAUAAUACCCCGUGCAGCGGCGGUACCUGGAAUAAGCACCGGCCGAAGGCGCUACGUGCCAGCAGCCGCGGUAAUACGUAAGUGCAAGCGUUAAUCGGAAUUACUGAGCGUAAAGCGUGCGCAGGCGGUUCCGGAAAAGAAAGAUGUGAAAUCCCAGAGCUUAACUUUGGAACUGCAUUUUUAACUACCGAGCUAGAGUGUGUCAGAGGGAGGUGGAAUUCCGCGUGUAGCAGUGAAAUGCGUAGAUAUGCGGAGGAACACCAUUGGCGAAGGCAGCCUCCUGGGAUAACUGCUGACGCUCAUGCACGAAAGCGUGGGGAGCAAACGGGAUUAGAUACCCUGGUAGUCCACGCCUAAACGAUAUCAACUAGCUGUUGAGGCCUUCGGGCCUUGGUAGCGCAGCUAACGCGUGAGAUUGACCGCCUGGGGAGAUACGGUCGCAAGAUUAAAACUCAAAGGAAUUGAGAAGCGCGGGACUACACAAGCGGUGGAUGAUGUGGAUUAAUUCAUUGGCACUUGCACGAAAACCUUACUACCCUUGACAUGUCUGAGAUGAUCCCGAAGAGAUUUGGGAGUGCUCGCGAAGAACAGAACCACCAGGUGCUACAUGGCUGUCGUCAGCUCGUGUCGUGAGAUGUUGAGUUAAGUCCCACCAACGAGCGCCCUUGUCAUUAGUUGCUACGAAGAGCACUCUAAUGAGAACUGCCGGUGACAAACCGGAGAGGGUGAGGAUGACGUCGAAUAUCGUAAGCCCUUAUGGGUAGGGCUUCACGUCAUGCAAUGGUCGGGACAGAGGGUCGCUAGCCGAAGGGAGCCAAUCCCAGAAACCCGAUCGUGAUCCGGAUCGCAGUCUGCAACUCGACUGCGUGAAGUGGAAUGUAAUAAUCGCGGAUCAGCAUGUCGCGGUGAAUACGUUCCGGGUCUUUAGCGCACACCGCCCGUCCACACCAUGGGAGUGGGUUUUACCAGAAGUAGUUAGCCUAACCCGUAAGGAGGCGAUUACCACUGACAGGGUAGUCGUAACAAGGUA